rnacentral:lncRNA from 1 species
UAGUCGAUUCCACUGAGGACUUCGGCUGUGGGUAUUUUAUACCCAACACCAGUCCCCCUACUUUCGAGUUUGAAUUUCAAACGAAGGAAGUACAGAGAGAGAGAUGGGCACAGCCGAAACCGUCCCUUCGAAUUCUGCACACUGCCGCCUCCAGAUAUUUUGGCAUUAAAUGUGCGCGUGCCGGAGUCUUUUCGAAUUGGAGCGGUACGAGGGGAUUCUUCGAAAUUUCCGUAGGUACAAUGGUCUAGGUACGAUGCAAUUAUGAUCCUGCCAACCGUCAACCGCUUUUAGCCAUCUGUCAGGGGGAGUGGGACACGUGUCGGAUGCGGACUGGCCCGGGGGAUUCGCGAUCAUUAUGGCGUCGGAUCCCAGGGUCUAUUUAAACCCGUCCUCCCACCUUUAGGCAUCCUACUCCGUUCCUUAGUUCUCACUAGUGUCUGUCUUCUCUUCGAGAGCCCUGCUUCAGUGAGCGUCUUCUCAAGCCGUAGGUGCCUCCCAUUUUUCGUCCCUCAGGUCCCUCAGAGUAAUAUAGGUUAGUGCCAACCUUCCUCUCACCGCCUAGGGGCUUCUUUUCUAGUCAUUACUUUUGUGCAUCCCUCCGAGUUAGUCUUCGGCCUCUCGUUCCCCUUUCGGUCCGUCUUUUUAGGGUCCUUUAGAUCCCCCCUUCGAAACUACUCAAAAUGUCCUCUGGCUCUUCUGCUCCCAGCAGUUCUGAGAGUUCUUCUGCUUCAAACCCCCAGGUCCCUGUCUCUGUGGACGAACCCGCGUCUGGGGCUGGGCUUCGUCCGAUUUUCGCACCGGGCGUUAUUCCAUGUUCCUUGACUUCGGAGGAACUCCUUCUGAUAAGGGUUCAGUAUGGGGUUCCUCCGGAGUACGACCUGGAGCUACCAGGCCCCUCUGACCGGGCCAGCACUCCCCCUCCCGGUCGUUUUUGUUUGUACCAGGAAGCGUUCCGUGCCGGACUCCGGCUUCCGCUUCCUUCCUUUGUCGCUGCCCUCUUCCGCUUC